rnacentral:tRNA from 1 species
AAAUAAGAAGCAAUAUGCACUCAGUUUCGACCUGACUAUAUGGUAUUUCUAAAUACCCUUAUUUU